GGGGUUGUGGCUCAGUGGCAGAGCACUUGCCUAGCAUGUGUGAAGCACUGGGUUCGAUUCUCAGCACCA
rnacentral:tRNA from 1 species